AACGAACGCUGGCGGCAGGCUUAACACAUGCAAGUCGAGCGCCCCGCAAGGGGAGCGGCAGACGGGUGAGUAACGCGUGGGAAUCUACCCAUCUCUACGGAAUAACGCAUGGAAACGUGUGCUAAUACCGUAUACGUCCUUCGGGAGAAAGAUUUAUCGGAGAUGGAUGAGCCCGCGUUGGAUUAGCUAGUUGGUGGGGUAAAGGCCUACCAAGGCGACGAUCCAUAGCUGGUCUGAGAGGAUGAUCAGCCACACUGGGACUGAGACACGGCCCCGACUCCUUCGGGAGGCAGCAAUGGGGAAAAAUGGACAAAUGGCGCAAAGCUGGUCCAGGCAAUGCGGGGUAGGUGAUGAGGGCCUUGGGGUGGAAAACUCUUUUACCCGGGAAGAUUAAGGACGUAAACCGGGGAAAAGGCCCGGCUAACUUCGUGCCAGCAGCCGCGGUAAGAC
rnacentral:rRNA from 1 species